GCCCUGGUUGAUUAAUGGUAAAUCACUCACACCUCUUUGAAACUGAACAUCGAGAGCUUGAUGUGGGAGACGGAGGUUCGAAUCCUCCCUGGGGCA